GCCAGCGGCCAUAUCACCCUGCAUCUCACAACUGGCAGGCCACUAAAGCUCAGAAGGUGGGAGCCUGGUCAGUACCUGGAUGGGAGACCUUCUAGGAAAAACUGAAGUUGCUGCUGGAA
rnacentral:rRNA from 1 species